UGGGGAAUAUUGGACAAUGGGCGAAAGCCUGAUCCAGCCAUGCCGCGUGUGUGAAGAAGGUCUUCGGAUUGUAAAGCACUCUAAGUUGGGAGGAAGGGCAGUAAGCGAAUACCUUGCUGUUUUGACGUUACCGACAGAAUAAGCACCGGCUAACUCUGUGCCAGCAGCCGCGGUAAUACAGAGGGUGCAAGCGUUAAUCGGAAUUACUGGGCGUAAAGCGCGCGUAGGUGGUUCGUUAAGUUGAAUGUGAAAGCCCCGGGCUCAACCUGGGAACUGCAUCCAAAACUGGCGAGCUAGAGUAGGGCAGAGGGUGGUGGAAUUUCCUGUGUAGCGGUGAGAUGCGUAGAUAUAGGAAGGAACACCAGUGGAGAAGGCGACCACCUGGGCUCAUACUGACACUGAGGUGCGAAAGCGUGGGGAGCAAACAGG
rnacentral:rRNA from 1 species